GGGGUGCCCACGGUGGGGAAAGGACAGAGGGGGAGAGCAAGGCUGCAGUGUGUCCUGAGAGGGCCUGGCUGUUUGCCCUUGGGAUCUAGGAGCUUUCCCAGCAGAAGGAGGACAGGAGGGACAGAGGGCGGGAUGGAUAGCUGUGUCACUGCCUGCUGCAGUUUUCCCCGGGGUUUUAGAGAGGAUUUCCUCUGUGUCUGAGGGAGUGAACCCGGGGGCCCUGCGCUGCUCCAGCCACCCCUCCCAGGGAUGUUGCUGAGGGCAGGGAAAGAGUGUGGAGAGUGACCAGGAGCCAGCCCAGAGCUCCCCAGGCCCCUGUGCACCUUUGGCCAUAUCUAUUCACAUCUGGCUCCCACAGCCUUAGCUGACCGCCGUGCAGUGCCCAGUUCCCUGUGGCAGAAGGGGAUCCCAGCACACCCUGGAAAGUGUUCUCAUCUGUGCUCCGUUCCAGAUGAGGUUGCUGGGAAGGCUUCUCCAUCAGCUUGGAUGAAUAAAGUUUUGAAGCCCUUGGAGCCUCCUGCAGAUGUGUCUACAGGGAGGACUUCUCCAGCUCCUACCUUGGAUGUUGCACUCAAGCCCAGCUCCCAUCACAGUGGUACUCCAACAGGGAAAAUCCAAGAUACAAUAGAUAAGAUAUCCCUGGAACCAUCCAAAGAGAUGAGGCAAGAGCUGAAGGAACCCCUGCAGACAAGAGAAGAGAUGGACAUAGUGCUUCAGUGGAAGGUGGCAUUUCCUGAAGGAAGCACUCUAUCUUCGGUGCCAGCCCCUGCUGCAGGAAGGAAGGCAAAGCCAGACACGGGCAC